UUUGAAAGGGAAACGAUUGAAGUCAGUCGUACCGACGAGAAUUCAACUCUUCAAGUGCGAACUUGUGGGCGUGCGUGAGCUUUAAAACCUCGCUGUUUGCAACGUUUGUGCUUUUUGGGUGUACUUUUUCGUAUGGUUGGCCAACGUCAGUUUCGUUUACCAUAAAAUGAUCGGAGGAAUGUAGCUUCGAUCUCGUAUUGAAGUGUUAUAGCCUCUGGUAGAUGUAGUGAACGAAACUGAGGAUUGCAACGAAUACCCUUUGGGCUAUCCGUCUGACCUCUGAAAGUUGCUUAGGUGCCGAAAGCGUGCUUACGGUUAUUUAAGUUAACGGUCAACAGGUUAGAACGUGAUUACAUUCGUUAAGGAUGUUGACGUA
rnacentral:rRNA from 1 species